GUAGGGAAUAUUGGGCAAUGGAUGCAAGUCUGACCCAGCCAUGCCGCGUGGAGGAAGAAGGUCCUCUGGAUUGUAAACUCCUUUUUUGGGGGAAGAAUAGUUCUCUUGCGAGGGAAUGUGACGGUACCCUAAGAAUAAGCCACGGCUAACUACGUGCCAGCAGCCGCGGUAAUACGUAGGUGGCAAGCGUUGUCCGGAUUUAUUGGGUUUAAAGGGUGAGUAGGUGGUUUGAUAAGUCAGUGGUGAAAGCUGGUUGCUCAACAAUCAAGUUGCCAUUGAUACUGUCGGACUUGAGAGAAGUGGAGGUUCAUGGAAUGGAUGGUGUAGCGGUGAAAUGCAUAGAUAUCAUCCAGAACGUCGAUUGCGAAGGCAGUGGGCUGUACUUUAUCUGACACUGAGGCACGAAAGUGUGGGGAUCAAACAGGAUUAGAUACCCGGGUAGUCC
rnacentral:rRNA from 1 species